rnacentral:lncRNA from 1 species
UCAUAGGCUCAUAUCUAUCUAUCUAUUAUACUAAAUGAAUUCUCUUAGGCCACAUGGACUAUUCUUAGCCAAUCAAUUAACUGAUGUGGACACCCUCUUUGGCCAGAUAAUUGUUCAAGAGCGCCAAACCCUUUUCCUCUGUUUUCCUUUUCACGCGGCUUCUUAGACACGCUUUCCAUCAUAUCAUUCAAAAAACCCUAAUUAUAUUCUCUUGCCAUUUCAUACAUCUGCGAUUUUAUUAGAAAUACCUGAUCUAUAGCAUGGCGAUUCUCAUCAAAGUGAUUGUUGGAAACCCUAAAUUGUAACCAGUGGAAUUGAAUUCAGGUCUUCAAUUCUUUGAUUUCGAUAUUCACAGGUCUGAAAUGUUGACAUGUACAAUCAACUAUCAGGUUAUGUAGUUGAUAGAUUUUGACAUAGUUUGACCGAUUUAUUCUCUCAAGUGUAUCGUUGAGGAAAGAUUUGACUGGAAUUCCUCAUAUAUAGGAACACAGUGUCCUAUUUGGUUCAAGAAAGUACCCUUUAAAAGAACCAUUUGUUGAACUACUGAAGGGGAGUUUGCAUACUUUUCUUAAUGCAUUCACAUAUCCUGAUAAGACAUGCUAUCAUGUUGCAUCUACAAACACAAAGGAUUUUUAUAAUUUGGUAGAAGUAUACAGGGGCGGACCUACAUAGGUCUUUACGGGUUCCCAGGAACCCAUUGCGUUUUGAAAUUUUAAUAGAAAUUAUAUGUAAAAAACCAAAGUGAACCCAUAAGAAAAUUAAAGGUGAACCCAUUAACACUAAAGAAGCAUGUUCCAGCGGAUAAAAUUCAGGUUUCUGUCCAAAGCGUUUCAGGGCUCCAGACACAAUCAGAAACGCAACCAGUAGUGAAGUAGUGAACCCUGAAUCAAUUUUGCACCUUCUUCUUUUCCUCCUGAGAAGAAAGGAUCUGAUGACCAUCAAUGGGCUCAGAGGCAUCUCAACUAAGUACUAAGUUAACGACCAUGACAGCCACCAGCGCUCACGGUUCUGUAGACUUUAUUCUGUUGUCAUAGAUCACACUUAUACCGUCAAUAAUCUAAGUGAAUUUGAACAUUUUGUCAUAAUUUUUUAGCAACUGAGACGCGUUUUCAUAUUGUUCAGAUUUAUUAAAUUAGAGGAUAUAUGU